AGCGCUGUCAGUACAAGAAACUACUCCUGAAGCAUUGUUCUAUCAAUUCCAUGGUACAUAUGAACAUAUUUAACAGUUUUCAUUGUUUACAGCACCUGACACAGAAGUUUGUUGUUUCUCUGCCUUCAUAAUUUUUUCGUUGCAAACACUUACCAUCCUAAAGUUUUUUGGCUUAUCAAAAAUCUGUUAUACCUAUAUUGUAGGGGUUUUUUUAUUUUUAAGUGUAGUGUGAGUGCAUGAUUCAUUUCAUUGAGUUUCAUAAAAUAGGAAACUUUCAAGUUUUUGUAAGUGGCUUUUGGCAUUAAGGACAUAUACGUCAUCAUAAAAUAGGUAUGGAAUGCAAAAAAAUUAGAAAUAUACAAAUAUGCAGGCUGCACGUUGUGGCUAUGAGGGUUCUGUGAACGAGGCCAUCAAGAUGUUUAAUCCCAUGGUUCAUGUUGGGUUCAUCCAGAACAUGUGGCACGUGCCUGCAAUAUGCUUUGUUGCAGUUUACAAUGAACUAUGUUUCUUACAAUGUUUAUAUCUUCCUGCGCAAUUGCACCUAGCAGUUGAGGAGUGCCUCUUUGGCUCUUUUCGUGUAAGCAUUAGAUCUUUUACUACCUACAUUCUUCUUGUGUUUUCUUGGCUUACUCGAUCGCGAAGUAUUAAUCUCUAUUUGUGACAGAUGGCUUGGCAAGAUUAUACUAGAGACUUGUAUUUCUCAUAUCCAUAUUUGGCUUAGGUAUGAUUCUUGUGUCACUGCUACAUAUAUUUUUCCUAAUUAUUGGAGGUACUUCCAUUUAGCCUUGCAGUAAUAUAUUCCUAUAUAACUGUAUAGCAUGCUGGAUAUAAGGUCAACUCUGAUAUUUUUUUCUCAUAUAUCAAUAGUUAAUUCAACUGAACUAAAAAUGCUGCUCAAAUACCUUUGCUUUUCUACAGUGUGACCAAGCUUUUUUAGGUCUAGCAUGCCAAAUGGACAGCCAAAAUGGCUUUGUUUCAUACCAGAUUAUCCUAUGCUUAUCUUCAUGCUUACUAUAGCGAUCUAUCUUCUUGUAAGUUGCCAACUUCAAACCCAUCUCAUUACUUAUUGGGAAAGAAAAUUGUUUCAUUGAACAGUCAUAAAAAGGAUACUCAUUUCAUUAUCUAAGGGGUGUUUGGUUUAAAGAAUAAAUCCAUUCGAGAAUGAUGUGGUGCAUCAUCAUGAGUCCAUUCCACAAAUUUGGUGGAAUGAACUCAUUCCCCCCAUAUCAAAAACAGUAACAAUUUCCUUAUCGAUUUUUUCUUAGCAGCUAACCACUAGGUCAUGUGGGUUUCUUUUUAGGCACAUGAGAGGCGCACAACCGAAUCAACAGUGAGCUAGACCAUUGGAAAUAUGGGGAAGAUAUUGUACUCUGGUUUCCAUAUUUUCACUCCAAAUGUUUUGAUUUAGCACAUGACAAUAUAUUUGAGCAUCUAAAUCUGAUGGCAAUUGAUUCAAGCUAAUGAUGCAUUUUGUUUUUAUUUGGUUCAUGGCCAAGAAUUGGGACUGAAUAUCAAACAUUCUACUAGGCAAUCAAAAGAUGUCAUCAAGGCACUGAAGAAAUGGAUUGGCCACAGGAAUCCAAAAGUUCAACUUCUUGCUCUAAGUAUGUGUUUGGGGGACCACAUGCAAGAUAUCCACAAUACUAUGUAGCAUACCAUGAGUUGGUGUCUGGCAGCGUGCUAGAGCUGAAUUCCACAAGAGACCCGAGAAACAUGCACUUUGUUUGAUGGUCAGUCACAGGGAGCAAGGAAUAAGCGUAGUACUGACUAGCAGGGAGCAAGGAAUAAGCGUAGUACUGACCAAUAGGAUGAAGUAGAAUCUUCUGCUCCCAAUGAUUCUCCUGCUUUGAGGUGUGUUUUUUUACAUUUUAUUUUGUGUGCCGAUGUCUUUUUCUAUCUGUUUCUCCUCUACACUUAAAUAGCUUAACAUUUAAUUCUUUCUCUAUUGUCUCUUACUAGCACAAAAUCUAUCAAACAAUAUAAUAUUGUGUGCAAGGAUUUAAAGUAUGUUUUCUUGGGAGCAAGCAACGCUGAGGCAUACCCUAGGUGCCAUACGAUGCCACAUGAUUUUAAUUAUGCCACACAAUGUUGGUUCUUUUUAUGGUAUGUCAGUUUGCCACUUUAGUGAUAUAUUGGAAAAAACAGGGGAGAUAAAUCCUUAAUGGUACAUAUGCGCUUCCUGAAUAAGCAAUCCUAUUUCUUGUAAGCUGUUAUUUUAGUAAAUUUGUGUCUUAAUAGUACUUUCUAUAAAUAUUUCUCCUGACUCUUUUGUCAUGUAUACCCUUCACUAAUAUCCUUUUUUUAUCAAUGUUGUGGCUAUUAGCUUGCAUCUUGGGCAGAGGGAUAACAUUUCUUAUCUUUUAUUUUGUGUUUCAUUGUGCUGCAGGAUUUAUAUUCUGUCUAUGGAUGAAAUGAGCAAUCUAAUAAAUCCACACUUGUAUAAUUGAAUAUUUAAUUUAAUUUAAUUCGUGGGCAAUUUGAUAUUGUCCAUACCAUAGUGACCGGUUGUCUUAUGUGGUGCUAAUAUUUAACAUAAAAUGUGAUAUUUGCAUUAUAUAUAUAUGGUUCUUUUCUGCCUUGCCCACAUUCAGUAUUUUCUUUGUUUACAUAAAAUGAAACAAUUAAUUAGUGUGUGCAUAGCAUUAUCUUUUGCUAUAACUUGUUCUGAUCUCCAGAUAUAUUCUUCAAUUCUAAAAGAUAGUUGCAUAUGUCCUUUACCUGAGAGUGUAGUCCCUUUUGAUGUUUAUGGGGUGGAAGACUUCAAGAUAGAAGAUACAAAUGUUCACAACCCUACUACUCACAAAUUUCAGGAAGAUCCAAAAAGUGAUCCUAGACACUGUAAGCUUCAACAUGAGUAUGAGGUAUUUGAUCUGAAAACUGUUCCCCAGAACAGCAGGUUCACCAUUAAUUAGUAUACAUUUGUAUGGCUUGACUUUCCAUUACACAAGGAGAGACUAGCCACUCUAUAAAUAUAAAAGGUGACAACUGAUUGCCAACAAACAGUUAAAUUUACCAAACAAGUUACUUUUUCGUUUAUCUUGUCUUCUAAUCUACUAUUGUGGCACGAUGUAUGCUUCAAUUAAAGAGUAAAUUGUUGACUUCAUGCCAUGGCAUGCUAGGCACAAUGUAGUGAAUGAGCACUUUUUAAUUGUUGUUCCUUGUUGUGAAGUAACCGUGAGUGUUUGUCCCAUGAGUUCUGUUUCAAUAUUCUUUCUUAAGAUAAUUGCUUACAAUUUUUAAUUACAUUUUGGUAUUCUUAUCAGCCAUAUCCUGAUUACAAGCUGGUUGUUAGCCAUCAUGACUAUAGCUUAACUUCUAAGCUGCCAAAGGAGAGAACUUCUGUUGUAACGAUACUAAGAAACCAAUUGAUCGUGUAUUUAGCACAUAUGAGUUCUUAGUUGAAGUUGUAGCUAGAUUCCUUGUGCACCCAAACUUAACUUCUGUGAAGUUAAAGAGUACCCGUGUGUUAACAAAUUAUUGUGUUGUCCGAACUUUAGAUAUCCGGCCUUGGAAGUACUUGGUACCAUGUAUGAGGGAAGAUCUGUUUGCCAGGAUUACUGGGUUAACGAACAACUCAUACUUUGAUGGAGCACAUGAGGUUCGACAUUAUCUCAGGAAGCAUUCGGAUCUUGGUCGUAUUGUGCUUGAAGUUGCUAAGGACUCGCAAAUUCCCCGCCAAGUAAACUGCUAGAAAACUUUUCAGAGGUGGACAUGAUGAAGAUGAUAGUGCUGAUGCCGACACAAAUGAUGUUGUUGUACCUCGAUAACUCCACUUUCUUCCUAGCCCUUUAGAGAUGAUAUGACCAUCUUCGUUCGGCUAUUUUCCCAGCACUGGUCUAUACCGCGGAUUGAUGCAUAAACAACUGCCUUAGAAAAACAUAGUUUUGAAGGAUAAAACUCAAGAUUAGCAAUGACAACUUAAAUAGUCAUCAUAGCUGAUGAACAUCUUAGCUACCAAAAAACAUGUUUAUCCAUCUAGAAACCUUUUCCCCCUGCUCAGUGCUCGCUGCCCUAUGAUUACCAAGUUUGAGAAUUCUUUUUCCAAUAGAAUUUGUAGGCUACAAUAACCUGGCUCAAAGAAUGUGAAUUCAUUUCCCUUUGUACUAAAGAAUCACAAGUAGUUGUCUGUACUCCUAAACAUGAAUAAGUGCAAUCAUUUUGUAGAAAUUAAAUCAUGUGUCAUUCUGUGCAGAAGAUACUAAUAGUACUACCACUACCGUGUUCUACUUCAACAACAAACUUCAGAAAAGAUUAAGAGGUCAACAUUUUAAAAUGAAUGGACUUUUUUAUAUACUGUUUGCAAAUGCAGGUUUGUAGAAACUCUGAAUUGUAUGUGCAUUAGCUUCCACAUGGUUCGGAAAACAAUAACUAUAUUGAUCAAAUCAGGUCUAUGUCUCAACUGUACAAGCCAAUAAUUAUCCAAUCACUUGCACGCAAUGGCAUCCUGAGAAAGCCAUUUUUGAGUGGAGGAAACCAAUGAUCCCACACAGCGAAGAUGCAAUACAGGUUACUCAACAUUUUGCCAAUCAUUUUAUCAGGUUUGUUGUUGUAGGCUUUAACUUCUAUUAUUAUACAAUUCAAGUUGGCAGUACUUCAUGUUGGUUUAAGCAUAUGCAAGAAAGGACCUUGGUUUGAUGAAACUUGCAAGAGUGGUGAAAGAAAAAUGGAGUUCAUGCUUACCUAGCUCACCCUUUCCGUGUCGUGGAACAACCAAGCACACAAGUCUCCAAACAGGCCUCCUGCCGACAAAGUGCUGGAUAACUUAAUUUACAACUACAGACCAACAUUUACCGGAAAAAAAUCGAAAUCGUUUGAGGAGGUCUACAUCUUCUCCUGAGACUGUGGAUUGAACGCCUGAGUGUCUUCAGGAAUCUGCAGUUCUGCACUGCAUUGCUAUUGUAGUGUAACUAUGCAUUAGUAUUACCCCGUUGUACCAGAAGUUGUAUUUGUAUAGAUUCCUUGGACUGCCUGUAUUGCAGUAACCUUUCCACCGUAUGGGUGGCUCUAUAGAAUGCGUAUAAGCAUAAAUGAUAAUGAUAAUGUAAUAGACUGAAAAAAAUACUUGGAGAUU